rnacentral:lncRNA from 1 species
AUAAAGAAAGAAGAAAUUAAUAAGUGAAAAGACGCACAAGAAUAUACCAAAAAAUUAGAAUGAGCCUAUAAAUAUAAAACAAAGAUAUUGUUAAGGAUCCACUUAUCUUACAUGCAUGUAAGAUAAAUCAUCCUCACAUAAACAGUGCGUGGACUCCACACAUGCACUGUUCAUGUGAAGGGGAUGUAUCUUAUAUGCAUGUAAGAUAGAGAUUGCCUAUUGUUAAAUGUGUUGUGUGUAAGAAUAUAUCACAGUGAGAUAACAAAUUAUAUGUUAGCUAAUUUAAACAAUAGUGUAAACUAGCAAUCGGAAAUAAUAAAUGAAGAACAGAAGAGGAAGAAACCGAAUUGAAAUAAAAAAAAAACGGAACCCGAGGCCUGCACAAAAACAGUCUCCUUAAAACAGAUUUACCACCUAUUCGGAGUGCUUAAGGUUUGUUGGUAUCUGUUUCUCAGGAUGCAGCGGGUACGAACUUCCAGUCAAGCACAGGCUGGAAAUUCCGGCGAACCACAACAGUGAACUCAAUCAGAGAAAGACGAAGAAGAAUGAAGGGAAAACAAGUGUGCUUUGUGCUCGUUUUUGCAAGUGGAAAAAACAGAAGUGAAGGUGCCUUUUUAUACUCAAGGGAGGAUGUAACAGCUUUUGUAUUGAAUUUUCGAAUUCAAUACAUUUUAAUCAAUUGUUAUAACAGCCAAAUCAAUUUAAUGAAUUGAUUUCAAAAUUGAAUUCAAAAAAACGUGAAUAACAACUAAAAAUAAUUGUAAAAGCUGUUACCAAUUCUUUGAAUUCACAUGAACUGUUACAAUAAAAAAUUCAAAAGGAAUUAAAAACGUGCCUAGCUUGCAUGGAUGAUUUUGGGCUGACAUUCGUGUACACAGGACGCGCGGGCGCACACGAGUUCAACCAAAUCGGGCUUGAAUUCGCACCCCCCCUGCGCACGCGCGUGUGGAGAGAGCAUCUAUCCUCAUAAUUCUUACUCAUGCAUGGUUAAGUAUUUAUAUUUAAACACUAAUUCCUAGGCUUCUUUUUCCCAUGUGGGAUAAGACUCAUUUUUUUUCAAAUUUCCAACUUCAAGGGUGAACUUUGAGAGACAAUUUCUCAUUCACCCAAGCACCAUUUUGAGAAAAUAAAAUUAUACUAUUGAAGUAUCAACGGAGUAGAAUCCGAACCUCACAAUAUUUUCCACUUUCGUUAAGUGGGACCCACUCAAAAUGUGCUCUCAAAAUAGCAUGUUAUGCUAUUUUUUCAACAAUCCCCCACAUGAAUGAAAAUUGGCAGUAAAACAAGAAAACCGCUAAAUUUUGACAUCAAAACUAUUUUUAACUCUUAAUGAUCGAGUUUAUUGGAUUGAUACCUAGCACAUGAUAGGUAGGUGUUAUCCUUUGAACCUUCUCUUGUAAUAGUAUAAUUACUUUACUAGCUUAUCAGUAGACGCGAUGUCUUUGAACUGUUCUGCCAUUAGUGUAAACGAUCAUAUACUACACAUAGGUAUUUCUCCUAACACUGUUGAGUUCUCAUGAUUAUGUUCGUUUUGGCCUUGAACAUCUGCCUGGUUCUGCAAGAGUUUCUAAGAGCUGAACCCUUUAUAGCUCCCUUUGAAGCGGCCUCACUUCUCUCUCACAUAGGUGAUAUCUUAAUUAAGAGUAACCCGCAUUACUCUGCUCGAAUUUUCGAUGCAUAAGAAUCAUUAAGAGCCUAGCUCAACCUUAUUCCCCACAGGAAUCACUGUUUCAUCAUAUGAAUGGUUAAUGAGGUAAUCAUCUCAAGAGAAUGACCCCACAGUGAUCAAUCUUUAGUCUUUAACAAAUAGGUUAUCUAAUUGAACCUAGAUCUUGGGAUUUCCAGUCUACUAGGUUAGGUUUUCCUUCGUUAUUGACUAAUCAAUCUAUAGGUUUUAAUCACAUCCCCCUCGAUGAUUUUUCUACUAGCUCUCUAUUUAACCCUUUGGUUAGCGGAUCCGCUAUGUUAUCCUUUGACCUUACAUAGUCAAUAGAAAUAACUCCAGUAUAAAUAAGUUGUCUAAUGGUAUUAUGUCUAUGACGUAUGUGUUUACACUUAUCAUUAUACAUAUUACUUUGUGCCCUACCGAUAACUGAUUGACUAUCGCAAUGUAUACAAAUCGUAGGCACAGGCUUUGGCCAUUUUGGAAUACCUUCUAAAAAAUUGCGUAGCCAUUCUGCUUCUUCACCACAUUUAUCUAAUGCAAUGAAUUCAGAUUCCAUUGUAGAUCUAGCAAUUACUGUCUGUUUAGAAGAUCUCCAUGAUACAACUGCACCUGCUAGUGUAAACACAUAGCCGCUAGUAGAUUUUGAAUCUUUUACAUCUGAUAUCCAGUUAGCAUCACUAAAUCCUUCUAAUACUUCUGGAUACCUAAUAUAGUGCAGUCCAUAAUUACGAGUAUAUCGAAGAUACCUAAGUACUCUUACGAUAGCUUUCCAGUGAUCAGUUCCCGGAUUACUCGUAUAUCUACUAAGUUUGCUUACUGUAUAGGCUAGGUCUGGUCUGGUACAACUUGUUAAAUACAUCAGACUACCUAUUAUUCUAGCAUAUUCAACUUGAGAAAUACCCUCUCCUCUGUUUUUUGAUAGAUGAAUACUAGUAUCUAAUGGAGUUUUAGACAUAGUAUUAUCCUCUUUAUUAAAUUUCCCAAGAAUUUUAUCUACAUAAUGAGUUUGACUUAAAAUAAGUCCAUUAGAAGCCCUUGAGAUUUUAAUUCCCAAAAUGACAUCUGCAAAACCCAUGUCUUUCAUGUCAAACUUAGACUUCAACAUAUUCUUAGUAGAUUUAAUCAUAUCAUCAUUACUCCCAACAAUGAGCAUGUCAUCAACAUAUAAACAUAAAAUUACAUAGUCAUUUUCUGUUUAUUUAACAUAAACACAUUUGUCACACUCGUUGAUCUUAAAGCCACUUGUGAUUAUUGUAUGAUCAAAUUUCUCAUGCCACUGUUUCGGUGCUUGUUUCAAGCCAUAUAAUGACUUAACCAAUUUACAAACUUUUUUCCUUGUCCUGGAGCUAUAAAACCUUCAGGUUGCUCCAUGUAGAUUUCUUCAUCUAAAUCUCCAUUUAGAAAAGUCGUCUUUACAUCCAUUUGAUGUAUCUCGAGAUUGCGCAAAGCUGCAAUUACUAUUAUCAUCCGUAUGGAAUUUAUUCUCGUAACAGGAGAAUAAGUAUCAAAAUAAUCAAGGCCUUCUCGUUGCCUAUAACCUUUAAUUACAAGCCUAGCCUUGUACUUAUCGAUUGAUCCAUCAGCUUUCAUUUUCUUUUUGAAAAUCCACUUAUACCCCAAAGGUUUACAUCCUGGAGGAAGAUCUAUUAGCUCCCAAGUAUGAUUUUGUAAAAUGGAUUCAACUUCACUGUUAAUGGCUUCUUUCCAUAAAGUGCCUUCAGCUGAAGUUACAGCUUCUUCGAAGCUUUGAGGUUCAUUUUCUAGCAAAUACGUCAGAAAGUCUGGACCAAAAGACUUUUCUAUUCUAGCUCUUUUACUACGUCUAACCUUAAUUUCUUGUUCUUCUUCUUCUGGUGCUUGAUCAUUUUCUUCAUUUUCAAGGGUUGUUUCAUGAAGUUGUUCCAAUUCUCUCAAUUCCACUCUAGAAUUGCAAGAAUACACAUGUUCGAAAAACGAUGCAUUUCUUGAUUCUAUUAUCGUAUUUUUGUGGACAUCUGAAACUUUAGACUCAUGCACCAAAAAUUGAUAUGCACUAUUGUUUUGUGCAUAACCAAUGAAAAUGCAGUCAACAGUUUUUUGUCCUAUUUUCACUUUUUUAUUUAAAGGAACCACUACUUUAGCAAGACACCCCCACACUCGUAAGAAUUUAUAUGAAGGUGAUCUACCUUUCCAUAACUCAUAUGGGGUUUUAUCUUCUUGCUUUCGGGGUAUCUUAUUUAAUAAAUAAUUAGCUGACAAAACAGCUUCUCCCCACAUAUUCUGGGGUAACCCAGAACUUAUCAACAUUGCAUUCAUCAUUUCCUUUAAAGUUCGAUUCUUUUGUUCUGCAAUCUCAUUAGAUUGAGGUGAAUAUGGAGCCGUGACUUGAUGUAUGAUUCCACUUUGUUCACAUAGUGACAUAAACGGAACAACAUACUCACCACCACGGUCACUCCUUAAUUCUUUGAUUUUUCUAUUAAGUUGAUUCUCAACUUCAUUUUUGUAGAGAAUAAACUUUUCUAAAGCUUCAUCUUUACUUUUCAACAAAUAUAGAUAGCAAUAUUUUGUGCAAUCAUCUAUAAAGGUAAUAAAAUAUUUAUUACCACCUCUUGUUUGAAUAGAUUUAAAGUCACAAAUAUCACUAUGUAUUAAAUCAAGUGGUUGGGUAUAUCUUUUAAUUAUUUGGAAAGAUGACCUAGUUAGUUUUGCCUCAACACAAGUUUCACACUUAUGUUUCAAAUCAAUUUGAAAUUUGGGAAUAUGCUUCAUGUUAAUUAAUUUACGCAAAGAAUUAAAAUUAACAUGUCCUAAUCUACCAUGCCAAAGAUUAGAAGACUCAAGCAAAUAAGCAGAAAUUAUAGCUUUAUUAUUAAUUGUUGGUUUCAAAGUCAUUACAUUGAGCUUAAAUAGCCCAUCAUCAACAUAACCCUUUCCCACAUACAUCCCAUUUUUAGACAAAACUACCAUAUCUGACUUAAACACCAUUCGGAAACCAUGUUUAUUCAGCAGCGAUCCAGACACCAAGUUCUUCCGAAUUUCUGGCACAUAAAGCACAUUGUUCAGAGUCAGUUCUUUCCCAGAAGUCAUCUUCAAAAUCACCUUCUGUUGACCCUCAAUCUCAGACGUAGCCGAAUUCCCCAUGAAUAGCUUUUCUCCAUUGCUAACAGCUUCAAAUGAAGUGAAUAACCCUUUGUCCGAGCAAACAUGUCUAGUUGCUCCUGUAUCUAUCCACCAUUCUCUUGGAUUAGAGCCAACCAGAUUCACUUCUGAAACCACUGCAGAGAGGUUUAUAUCUAAAACAUGUUGAGUGAUGUUUUCCACCACAUUCGCCUCUCGCUUCUUUUUAGGCAAUUUACAAUCUGAAGCCUUGUGACCCAUCUUAUCACAAUUAUAACAUUUUCCUUGAAACUUUGUUUGUUUCUUGGAAAUUCCUCCUUUAGGGCCCAAUUUUUUUUUUUUUUUUUAGGUCCAUGUUCAACAAAAUUUGUCUUUGCCAUAGAAAUAGCCCCUAUUCUUUCUGCAUUUCUGUUGUCUUCCUCAAUUCUGAGCUUAACAACCAGCCCUUCAAUAUUCAUCUCCUUUCGUUUAUGCUUCAAAUAGCUCUUGAAAUCUUUCCAAGCAGGAGGCAAUUUUUCAAUAAUUGCGGUAACUUGAAAAGUUUCGCUUAGAUGCAUCCCUUCCGCAAGGAUUUCAGAUAAUAUAAUUUGAAGUUCUUGUACUUGACUUAUUACUGUUUUAGAAUCCACCAUUUUAAAAUCUAGGAAGCGACCAACAACAAACUUUUUGGUACCCGCAUCCUCGGUUUUAUAUUUUCGGUCUAAGGAUUCCCAUAGCUCCUUGGCUGUUUUCUUUCCUAUGUAUACAUUAUACAAGGAGUCACUAAGGCCAUUCAUUACAUAAUUUUUACACAAAAAAUCUGAAUCGUGCCAUGCAUCAAUUGCACUUGUAACUUGAAUAUCUGUUUCACCCUCUUUGGGCUUAGGAGCAUCCUCGGUCAAAAACCUCGCAAGGUUCAAUGUGGUCAAGUAAAAGAACAUCUUUUGCUGCCACUGUUUGAAAUUCUGGCCAUUGAAUUUUUCAGGCCUUUCCGCAUGAUUGACAGGAAUUGCCACAGAGGCUGGUUCCUUCACAACAGAUGGUGCAGCAACAGGGACAUACGGAAUGUCAUCAACGGUAUCAGUUGCCAUCUCAAUGUCAGGGUAUAAGUCUGUUUUAAGAUUGUAAGAACAUAUCACAAUGAGAUAACAAAUUAUAUGUUAGCUAAUUUAAACAAUAGUGUAAACUAGCAAUCGAAAAUAAUAAAUGAAGAACAGAAGAGGAAGAAACCGAAUUGAAAAAAAAAAAACGGAACCCAAGGCCUGCAUAAAAACAGUCUCCUUAAAACAGAUUUACCACCUAUUCGGAGUGCUUAAGGUUUGUUGGUAUCUGUUUCCCAGGAUGCAGCGGGUACGAACUUCCAGUCAAGCACAGGCUGGAAAUUCUGGCAAACCACAACAGUGAACUCGAUCAGAGAAAGACGAAGAAGAAUGAAGGGAAAACAAGUGUGCUUUGUGCUCGUUUUUGCAAGUGGAAAAAACAGAAGUGAAGGUGACUUUUUAUACUCAGGGGAGGAUGUAACAGCUUUUGUAUUGAAUUUUCGAAUUCAAUACAUUUUAAUUAAUUGUUAUAACAGCCAAAUCAAUUUAAUGAAUUGAUUUCAAAAUUGAAUUAAAAAAAAAAGUGAAUAACAACUAAAAAUAAUUGUAAAAGCUGUUACCAAUUCUUUGAAUUCACAUGAACUGUUACAAUAAAAAAUUCAAAAGGAAUUAAAAACGUGCCUAGCUUGCAUGGAUGAUUUUGGGCUGACAUUUGUGUACGCAGGACGCGCGGGUGCACACGAGUUCAACCAAAUCGGGCUUGAAUUCGCACCCCACCCUGCGCACGCGUGUGUGGAGAGAGCCUCUAUCCUCAUAAUUCUUACUCAUGCAUGGUUAAGUGUUUAUAUUUAAACACUAAUUCCUAGGCUUCUUUUUCCCAUGUGGGAUAAGACUCAUUUCCUUUCAAAUUUCCAACUUCAAGGGUGAACUUUGAGAGACAAUUUCUCAUUCACCCAAGCACCAUUUUGAGAAAAUAAAAUUAUACUAUUGAAGUAUCAACAGAGUAGAAUCCAAACCUCACAAUAUUUUCCACUUUCGUUAAGUGGAAUCCACUCAAAAUGUUCUCUCAAAAUAGCAUGUUAUGUUAUUUUUUCAACAUUGUGAAACAGUGGGGUGGCUGUCUUCUACAAGAGCACUCAAAUCUCCUAAAUCGCAUGCAUGAUGUUUGGCUUAUUAGAGAUAAAUCGGAUUUGCUGAACAUCAUCUACACACACCAUUUGGACACGCCGCUUAAUACACCGUUUGUAGCUGGUGAAAUUCUUGUACGAGUAGUCACGCAUGCGUUGUCUUGUAAUCAAACACUUGAAUUGUGAAAAGAAAUACAAAAUAGCUUGUUGGUUCUCUUAUUCCUUUCACUUGGCUUUACUCCUUUUAGUUCUUCUAAUUUAUAGUUACAAUUUAUUCAAUACUUCCUGCAACAUUAUGCAACAAACUGUUCGUUUUUCACCAGACGUUUUCUUGAACAAAACCGUGGAAAUUUGUUAAGAAAGUGGAAAACAGAUUUGUCUAUUUAUUAAGAAAGUGAAAAACAGACGUUCUAAUAAAUGGAUUGAGGUUUAAGAUUUAGAGCUAGCAAAUUGUGACUAUUAAUGCUUAAUAGCCAACUGAAUUUUUAUAAAAAGAGACAUACCAUGUGUGACAAAAGAAAUUAUUAUAUGAUAGCUUUAUUCCUUGAAGAAAGAUUGAUCAAAACUUUUUUUUUUUUGUGCUAAUAUUGCCCAAACUAUCAAGUAGCUUUAAUUUAGGAUGACUCUUUCAAAAUUAGGCUUCUAUUUUUUUAAAUCAAAUUAUGUUGAACCUUGAUUUAGGCUUCUCAUAUUGGCAUUUCAUCUUCAUGUCUAAUUAUGCACCUCUAUAUUUUUUUUCUAAAAUAUGUUCACUUCUAAGGGUGGGCAUCAACCCGCCCAACCCGUGAAUCCGACCCAACCUGUGCGAUUUUUUGCGGGUUGGGUUAAAAUUUUUUAACCAAACCCAACCCGUCAACCCAUAUAUAUA